rfam:Haemonchus placei strain MHpl1 genome assembly, scaffold: HPLM_scaffold0000909
GGCCCAACUUUGAAGUAGAGUAGAUUAGUAGGAUCGGCUAAUNCCACUAAACUACUCUACUUCGAGUUUGUGCCC